rnacentral:tRNA from 1 species
GCGCGGACGCCGGGCGAGGGCCGCCGGGCGCCGCUGCUGGCGGCGUCGGGGAUGCUGCCGUCGGUCCUCCUCGGGUUCGCGGCCGGCCUCGCGCU